rnacentral:rRNA from 1 species
GCGGCAGCGAACGUAUCACUUAAAGCGAUUCAGCGGGUUACGAUUGACGGAGCGAAGCGACGUCAAAGCGUAUACAAAGUCGAGUCGGUUUAAGGAUACGUUCGUUGGGUAGGGGAGCGUUCUGUAAGCCUGCGAAGGUGGCCUGUGAGGGUUGCUGGAGGUAUCAGAAGUGCGAAUGCUGACAUAAGUAACGAUAAAGCGGGUGAAAAGCCCGCUCGCCGGAAGACCAAGGGUUCCUGUCCAACGUUAAUCGGGGCAGGGUGAGUCGACCCCUAAGGCGAGGCCGAAAGGCGUAGUCGAUGGGAAACGGGUUAAUAUUCCCGUACUUGGUGUUACUGCGAAGGGGGGACGGAGAAGGCUAUGUUGGCCGGGCGACGGUUGUCCCGGUUUAAGCGUGUAGGUGUGUGUUCCAGGUAAAUCCGGUUCACUUUAACACUGAGGCGUGAUGACGAGGCACUACGGUGCUGAAGCAACAAAUGCCCUGCUUCCAGGAAAAGCCUCUAAGCAUCAGGUAACAUCAAAUCGUACCCCAAACCGACACAGGUGGUCAGGUAGAGAAUACCAAGG